rnacentral:rRNA from 1 species
GCUUAACGCGAAGAACCUUACCAGCCUUUGACAUGCCCUGGACGGAUAGCAGAGAUGCUUUCCUCUCUUCGGAGCCGGGGACACAGGUGCUGCAUGGCUGUCGUCAGCUCGUGUCGUGAGAUGUUGGGUUAAGUCCCGCAACGAGCGCAACCCUCGCCCCUAGUUGCCAUCAUUCAGUUGGGCACUCUAGGGGGACUGCCGGUGAUAAGCCGCGAGGAAGGUGGGGAUGACGUCAAGUCCUCAUGGCCCUUACAGGCUGGGCUACACACGUGCUACAAUGGCGGUGACAAUGGGACGCGAAGCCGCGAGGCCGAGCAAAUCUCCAAAAGCCGUCUCAGUUCGGAUUGCACUCUGCAACUCGAGUGCAUGAAGUUGGAAUCGCUAGUAAUCGUAGAUCAGAACGCUACGGUGAAUACGUUCCCGGGUCUUGUACAC